rnacentral:rRNA from 1 species
AGUGAACGCUGGCGGUAGGCCUAACACAUGCAAGUCGAACGGCAGCACAGUAAGAGCUUGCUCUUACGGGUGGCGAGUGGCGGACGGGUGAGGAAGACAUCGGAAUCUACUUUUUCGUGGGGGAUAACGUAGGGAAACUUACGCUAAUACCGCAUACGACCUACGGGUGAAAGCAGGGGAUCUUCGGACCUUGCGCGAUUGAAUGAGCCGAUGUCGGAUUGGCUAGUUGGCGGGGUAAAGGCCCAGCAAGGCGACGAUCCGUAGCUGGUCUGAGAGGAUGAUCAGCCACACUGGAACUGAGACACGGUCCAGACUCCUACAGGAGGCCGCAGUGCGGAAUAUUGGACGAUGGGCGCGAGCCUGAUCCAGCCAUACCGCCUGGGUGCAGAAGGCCUUCGGGUUGUAAAGCCAUUUUGUUGGGAAAGAAAAGCAGCAGGUUAAUACCCCGCUGUUCUGACGGUACCCAAAGAAUAAGCACCGGCUAACUUCGUG